rnacentral:ncRNA from 4 species
UGACCCCGUGCGGGAGAGUCCUCCAGACAUCAUCGGAGGCGCCGAAGGAGCAAAUCCUCCCCGGAAUCUCUCAGGCACACGUACCGCACGGACGAG